UGGGGAAUAUUGCACAAUGGGCGAAAGCCUGAUGCAGCAACGCCGCGUGAGUGAUGACGGUCUUCGGAUUGUAAAGCUCUGUCUUUUGGGACGAUAAUGACGGUACCAAAGGAGGAAGCCACGGCUAACUACGUG
rnacentral:rRNA from 1 species